ACCCAUUCCUGGGUAGAAAUGCUCCUACGUGGUGGGCUCUGCCUUUUGCUGCAAAGGCAGAUGUGGGUCUGUGUCAAGAUCCUGACCCAUGUUCUCAGUGACCAGUGUAAAACCCUCCACUUGUUGAAGUUUCCUCACACAGAGAUAAGCUUGGAGUGUUUUGCAAAGGAUUCUGCUUGAUUCCCUCUGCACAUACUGAUGUGGCAUAAAAGUUGGAAACAAUCAGAAGAUUGUCAAACUCCCUGCUGUCAAAGCUCUAACUUCAUGUAAGUGGAAUCCAAGACAACAUUUCAGCAAUAAUGCAAAAUUAUAAAACAAAAACCUACUCUUUGGGAUGAACUUUGGCCCGCAUGGUACAGCUUUGCAAACAGAUUUUAAAAAUAACACACUGGUCUUAUAAAAACUGACAACAUGAGAUUAAAGUGUUUCCUGACAGCUAAAUAAUUCUUCCAGCACCAUGAUUUGGGCACCAUUGUCUUCUGCACAGAAUCUAAGUUCCGGAUAUUUGAGAAGGGAGGCAAUGAGCCUAAAUAAAGUCUUCUGUUGGACAGA